GUGGUGUCAAAACAGGAAGUGUGUGUAAGGGGAGACAAAUCUAAAAAGAUUUGUCUCUCCUUACAGACACUUCCUGUUUUGACACCACACU
rnacentral:pre_miRNA from 1 species